UAUGAAGGUCAGGCUGAAGACCUUACCCGAUUAGCUGAGAGGUGGUGCAUGGCCGUCGUCAGUUCGUACUGUGAAGCAUCCUGUUAAGUCAGGCAACGAGCGAGACCCACGUCCACAGUUGCCAGCAUACCCUCCGGGGUGAUGGGUACACUGUGGAGACCGCCGCUGCUAAAGCGGAGGAAGGAGUGGGCAACGGUAGGUCAGUAUGCCCCGAAUCUCCCGGGCUACACGCGGGCUACAAUGGUUGGUACAAUGGGCAUCUACCCCGAAAGGGGAAGGAAAUCUCUUAAAGCCAGUCGUAGUUCGGAUUGAGGGCUGCAACUCGCCCUCAUGAAGCUGGAAUCCGUAGUAAUCGCGUUUCAACAGAACGCGGUGAAUACGUCCCUGCUCCUU
rnacentral:rRNA from 1 species